rnacentral:lncRNA from 1 species
AAAAAAAAUUCCCAAUCUAGCCUUCUUCUUAAAAAAAUUUCUAAUCUAGUCUUUUUUUUGAUGGAUUAGAAAAUAAAAAUGACUUAAGAGCAUUUAUAUGUUAAUUAGGAGAGAGAAAAUUUUUCUCUCUCUUUCCUCUCAAUUAAUUCCUAUAAUAAUAACAAUAAUUUAAAAAUAAUAUUUAAUAAUAAUGACAUUAUUAUUACUGAAUGAUAAUUUUUUUAUUAUUAUUAUUAUUAUUAUUAUUAUUAUUACUAGUAUUUAGUACAAGUGGUAAAGUACUUGGUGGUUGGUACUUGAAGUUCUGAGUUUGAAUUAUUAUUAUUCCAGCUAAGUUUAUUUUCUAAAAAAAUAAAUAAAAAGGAUAGCAUCAUGCUAUCUUUCUGAAAAAAAUAUUCAGUAAUAAUAAUAUUUAUUAUUAUUAAAUAUUAAUUUUUAAUAAAUAUUAUUAUAACAAAAAUUAAUUAUUUUUAAAUAUUAGUAGGGUGAGAGGAGAGAGAGAAAAAAAUUUCUCUCUCCUAAUUAGCAUAUAAAUACUAUUAAAAUUAUCUUUUAUUUUCUAAUUAUCAAA